UGCACGUGUGACUGUAAAUCGCUUUGGAUAAUAGCAUCUGCUAAAUAGCAUAUU
rfam:Salmo salar isolate Sally breed double haploid chromosome ssa20, whole genome shotgun sequence.